GACGGGACCGCACAAGCGGUGGAUGAUGUGGUUAAUUCGAUGCAACGCGAAAACCUUACCACCUUUGACAUGUACGGAAUCCUUUAGAGAUAGAGGAGUGCUCGAAAGAGAGCCGUAACACAGGUGCUGCAUGGCUGUCGUCAGCUCGUGUCGUGAGAUGUUGGGUUAAGUCCCGCAACGAGCGCAACCCUUGUCAUUAGUUGCUACAUUCAGUUGGGCACUCUAAUGAGACUGCCGGUGACAAACCGGAGGAAGGUGGGGAUGACGUCAAGUCCUCAUGGCCCUUAUAGGUGGGGCUACACACGUCAUACAAUGGAUGGUACAAAGGGUCGCCAACCCGCGAGGGGGAGCCAAUCCCAUAAAGCCAUUCGUAGUCCGGAUCGCAGUCUGCAACUCGACUGCGUGAAGUUGGAAUCGCUAGUAAUCGUGGAUCAGAAUGUCACGGUGAGUACGUUCCCGGGUCUU
rnacentral:rRNA from 1 species